rnacentral:misc_RNA from 1 species
GUAACAAGGUUUCCGUAGGUGAACCUGCGGAAGGAUCAUUACAGUAUUCUUUUGCCAGCGCUUAACUGCGCGGCGAAAAACCUUACACACAGUGUCUUUUUGAUACAGAACUCUUGCUUUGGUUUGGCCUAGAGAUAGGUUGGGCCAGAGGUUUAACAAAACACAAUUUAAUUAUUUUUACAGUUAGUCAAAUUUUGAAUUAAUCUUCAAAACUUUCAACAACGGAUCUCUUGGUUCUCGCAUCGAUGAAGAACGCAGCGAAAUGCGAUAAGUAAUAUGAAUUGCAGAUUUUCGUGAAUCAUCGAAUCUUUGAACGCACAUUGCGCCCUCUGGUAUUCCAGAGGGCAUGCCUGUUUGAGCGUCAUUUCUCUCUCAAACCCCCGGGUUUGGUAUUGAGUGAUACUCUUAGUCGGACUAGGCGUUUGCUUGAAAAGUAUUGGCAUGGGUAGUACUAGAUAGUGCUGUCGACCUCUCAAUGUAUUAGGUUUAUCCAACUCGUUGAAUGGUGUGGCGGGAUAUUUCUGGUAUUGUUGGCCCGGCCUUACAACAACCAAACAAGUUGACCUCA